GAGCCAAAGUGCCCUGACUUUACAUCUUAAGCUACAAGAAGUUGGAUUCUUAAGAUGGCCAGGAAGAAAAACCUAGGAGCAAGAAAAUGCUUUUGUCAUGAAGCUAAUUAAUUGGCUAGUCUACUACAAAUUAUGAUCUCAGAACUCACCUUGGGGACAGUCUGGUGACAGAUGAGAAGACAUUAAGGAGAUGGAGUGAGAACCAAUGUGUGCAAAUAGCUAAACUUCAAAUGUAGAGGACAGCAGAAAAGAACCUUCUUGAUAGUGAACAUUCAUGUGUGACCUUGGGGACAGCAAGCCAAAGCAGUAACCCUUUAUGUCAACAUCAAAAAAUCUAAAAUCCCCUGGCAAGUGGCAUUAAGGCCUAUUUGCUAAGGUUAUGUUGUCCUGUUGUCCUGUUUUUUUCUACUCAGAACAUAAGUUGUGGUACAAGUGUUAUGUUCUAGCAUUUGUUGUGUCUCACUGUUGGCUUGAACUGGCUCAUUUGGAGCUGCAACAAAAACAAACAAACAAACAAAAAACCCCAUAAAAUAAAAAAUGCAAACCAAAAUAAAGAAAACAACCCAAAAGCUCCAGAAGACAGGUCUAAAGAGAGUUGUUUACCUCAUCUUAUAGCUGAAAAAGUUUUUUUGUAUAUUUUUAGUUUAAUAAAACCUGUAUUUGUGGUGGCUGGUUACCUUAAAGUUGUCUGUUUGAAAAGGUUGGAAAACAUUUGGAGUAGCUAUUAAGUGAUUCCCCUGAUAAGGGCUACCAGGAAAAUAGUAAUCAUAACAAAAUGUUUCAAGUAAAAAUAUGCAAUUUAAGUUUUAUUGAACAAAAAGGAAAAUUUUUUAUAUGUCUAUCAUAUCAAGGAGUAGAUAUUUACUGAGUCAGCCUAUUAAUUAACUAUGUUUACCAAGAGAUCAUUUUAUGCUGCUGAAGAAAGGGCCAGCUGUAAUUGGUCCCCUACCUCAGGGGAGUCAGGGACAACUCUUGUUAGACUGGAAUGACACAAAUCUGGAUCCUGACCAGCUGGAGCAGACUUUCUUCUUCCAAUAUGCCCAUAUUUCCCUGCUGAGAAACCUUCUGCCAGAACAGGCCCCUGUCAAAGUUUUCAGCGUGUCUUGUCCAUCACUACCAUGAAUCAACAUUUUGCUCCAUAACAGGUUUGUAAUGAAAAUUUGUUAUUUACCUGCUUUCACCUUUAAUGAAGAAAUAUAUCUAUAAUCAUUUAAAAUCAAAUUGGAUUCAAACUGUUUAAGGAACUUCAAAACAAAACUCUCAGUGUCUUAUAGUACUUUCUCUGUUGCAUGUUUUAAAUAUAUACCUGUAAG